CAAGGUCUCCGUAGGUGAACCUGCGGAGGGAUCAUUACAGAGACUCUGCCCUUUGGGUAGACCUCCCACCCUGUGUCGUUAUACCUUUGUUGCUUUGGCGGGCCGCGGGGCUCCGGCCCUGCCCCUGGCUCCGGCUAGGGCGCGCCCGCCAGAGGACUCGAAAACCUGAAUGUUAGUGUCGUCUGAGUACUAUAUAAUAGUUAAAACUUUCAACAACGGAUCUCUUGGUUCUGGCAUCGAUGAAGAACGCAGCGAAAUGCGAUAAGUAAUGUGAAUUGCAGAAUUCAGUGAAUCAUCGAAUCUUUGAACGCACAUUGCGCCCCUUGGUAUUCCGGGGGGCAUGCCUGUUCGAGCGUCAUUACAACCCUCAAGCUCAGCUUGGUCUUGGGCGUCACCGGUCCCCGGUGUGCCUUAAAAUCAGUGGCGGCGCCGUCUGGCUCUAAGCGUAGUACAUACUCUCGCUACAGACGCCCGGCGGAUGCUGGCCAGCAACCCCCAAUCUAUCAAGGUUGACCUCGGAUCAGGUAGGGAUACCCGCUGAACUUAAGCAUAUC
rnacentral:rRNA from 2 species